CGUUAUUGGCAGUUAUUACAUUAACGGUAGUUAAUACAUUAUUGGUUGCUACAGCUUGUUAUUACCAUAUCCUGAUUACACAAUCCCUUAUCAGAGCUCCUCAGAUGAGCAUUAGACAUGAUGGUUUCAUCAUGUAGUUUAUGAAGUGCAUUGUUCUUAGUACCUACUUUUCCCAAUUCAUCAUUGUGUAAUCCAAACAAAUUAUAAUAUAUAGUAACGGAACCUUUUUUUCAAGAUAAAACAUCUCAUUGUUGAAACGUAGGCCAUAGUUGAAGGUAAGACAUGUGAAGGUUAUGAGGCGGUGUCAAGGGAAUGUUGUAUUUUGGUGCCUGGAUAUAUUGAAUUUAUUGUAUGUUACAAGGUGGGCCGUGGGCAAGAUCUAUCCCAUGAGUGAUUUAUUUUGCCCCCCUCCCCCCAUUUGUUGGUAUCAAAUACAUUUGAAUAAAAGGAUCUUGUCUGAAUUUGAUCAAAACCCAAACUUAUUGUUAUUUUCAAUUCAUGUUUUGGCUUAGUUGUCGUCAAUUUGCAAUGUACAAAUAAUUGCUUAUAGUAAAUUUCCUGCCCCAACCAUCCAUAUAAAUCGCCAUAUGACUAAAUCUAGUUGCCUACUCCUGGUAUACUAGCUCAAGCCUUAAGAAGCUGUUUUCAUUUCAUUUUUAUUAGUAGGCUAUGCAUUGUAGAAUGGUUUGAUUCUUCAGUAUUCGGUUAACAUAUACUACAGUGCAUAUGUGUAAUUAUUAAUUGUAUUAUCAAUCAUACUUUUAUUAAUGCAAGACAGAACUCUGCAUCUAUUAUUGAUAACAGUGACAUUAUUUUCCCCUUGCUGCUUAUUCUUUUUUGUGACAAGAUGGAGUGACAUUGUCAUUGAAAAUUCCAUUGCUCACCUUAAUAUUUCUGAAUGUUUUAGCCCAUUCACCAAAAUGUUGUCAUGGAUAUCACAUCAAUGAGAGCUAAAUUGCUAAUUUAAGGACAUGAGAUUGGCUUAAAAAGACUUUGAAAUGUAAUAUGAAUGUAGUGUGUAUGUGAAAGAUUUGUUGACACUAUUGUGAUAGAUAGAUUUGAGUUGAUUGGGCAAAACCAAUUAAAUGCUUGACGGAUGCCUCUCACAUUUUUCCAAAAAAAUAUAUUUAAAGAAAGAAAUGCAAUAUAAAAAAUAACUAUCCUGCAUAGCUUGAAUUCUGUCUAUAAAUAAAGGUAAAAUAAAAUACAAAAUAUCCUUCCAGUAAAGAGCUAAAACUUGUCACAUUAAGGCUGAAUGUUGCCUAUUUUUUCCUCCCCAAAAAAUGGCCGAACCUAUUCAGGUAAUGAACUUAAGUCACUGUAAUUUUCACUGGAGUCCAGGUUUGCUUUUAUUCACCCAAUCACCUAAAAAAGGACAUUUGUUAAAAAUGUAAUUCAAUGUUUUUAGCCUUCUGAAAAUCAGUUGUAAUGUUAUGAACUAGUUUACCGGAUCCAGGGCCGGUUCAAAGAAUAAGCGACAGCUAGGGCCCCAUCCCCUACGGAGCUUCUGAACCCUAUAGGAGAGGAAAGAUUUGCCCCAAUUUUGCUUAGAGCCCCCAAAAGGCCAGAGCCAGCACUGACCGGACCUAAAGACAUGAAUAUCCACCAACUAUACAAAUUAACAAUUUGGUUCAUCCCAUUUAGCAAUGUGAAUGAUCUCUUCAGCCCAAAGGGAGCAACAUGGUUUUCCUCUGUAAAUAUUAUGUUUUGUUAAGCUGUUAAACCUGC
ensembl:lncRNA